UCGAGACCAUCCUGGUCAACAUGGUGAAACCCCGUCUCUACUAAAAAUACAAAAAAUUAGCUGGGCAUGGUGGCGCGUGCCUGUAAUCCCAGCUACUCAGGAGGCUGAGGCAGGAGAAUUGCCUGAACCCAGGAGGCAGAGGUUGCAAUGAGCCGAGAUCGCACCAUUGCCCUCCAGCCUGGGUAACAAGAGCAAAACUCCAUCUCAAAUAAUAAUAAAAUAAAUAAAAAUAAAAAACACCUGGUGGACUUGGUCAGAGGGAUAGAGCUUGUCACCGUCCUGCCCACUUUUCGCUUCCCAGCUCCAUGUCCUGCUCUCACUCUCCAGCCUUGUCCCACGACCAACCCAACCAAACUUCUGAAAGGGUUUCUUGUGUCCUAAGAAGUGACUGAUCCUCACACCCUUGAUGCAUAUGUUCACAGGAUUUGUGAUUCAAAGCGCAUACAUUUGGAUAUGUUAGGGAAGAGUUUGAGAAGCAGUCCUGUUAAUGUCUGAGAUAAUUUAAAAUCAUUUCCUGGCAACUCAUCAGAAGCAGUGUGGGGUGUUGGCAAGAGGCUGCCCCUGGGGAAGAACACUGGGUUCUGUCCUCCUUGGCCUAUGACCUGAAGCAAGUUACUAACUUCUCCAAGCCUCAGUUUUCCCAGCAGUAAAAUGGGGGUGAUAAUUAUCUGCAAAGUGAGGCUAGUAUCAGCCUGGGGUUUCCCACAGGGUGGUUGUAAAGAUAAAAUGCAGUAAAUGUCUGUGCGGGCAACUGACGAGACCAGAAUCCCUGGCAUCCAGUUAUUACUGAGAUGUCAUGGGAAAGGAGUUCUGAUGCAUUCAUUCAAACUCAUCUAUUUAACAACUGUGCUUUGAAGGCUGGCCACGUCCCAGACCUGCUGCUGAGAGGUGAGCUCUGUGGCUCUCAGCUUCAGUCCCACCGUAGUGCCAGGCACAGAGGCUCACAUAGCCUCCAGCCAUAGGGGUUUUAAUGAUUCGGGUGCCCCAUGGUUUGGGGGUUUAGUUUUUCUCCAUGAUUUGGAUCCAGGAAGAGGGACCGUAGGAGCGCUGGCUCCUGGGUCUGCCUUGGCCUCCAGAGCCCGCAGCAGAGCAGUUCCUCAGCUGUCAGGACACUGGCUUUCCCUCCUCCACACCAUCUGUUCUUUCUGCACUUCCUAACUGCUGCUUGCUCACUUCGACUUUCACCCUUCCUCAGCCCUCUGAACUCUACACAUCAGGAUUUGGCAUGACUUCCCUUCCCCGCCUGUUCUCUAGAGAGGCAGUCUCUUGGUGACUCCUGAUUUGGGUCAGCCUCAGGCCUCUGGAUGGCUACCGACCCCAGCUUCCCUCAGCUCUCACCCCAUCAGGGAGAAUGCCUCAGGAGCACCUAGGGCAGCCCUUUCAGCCUGGGCUGUGGGAAGAGAACGUGGAUCUGUCUCCAUUCCCAGGCCUUUGUUCCCUGUUAAUGCAGAAGCAUCCUGGGCUCUGUGUCUUAGUCCCUGUGUCAGUUGAAGGACUCGAGGCAAGCUGCACCACAAGCUUCAAUUGCCUUAUCUAUCAAAUAGUAAUAUUUAGCAUUCUGGAGACAGAAGUUGAUCCUUUGGGACUUUUUGGUUUUGAGAUCUAGGCUUCGGGCCAGCUGCAGUGGCACAUGCCUGUAAUACCAGCACUUUCGGAGGGUGAGGUGGGUGGAUCACUUGAGUUCAGGAGUUAAGGUUAGAGACCAGACUGGCCAACGUGACAAAACUCCGUCUCUACUAAAAACACAAAAAUAUUAGCCAGGCAUGGUAGCAACAUGCCUGUAAUCCCAACUGCUUGGGAGGCUGAGGCAUGAGAAUCACUUGAACCCAGGAGGUGGAGGCUGCAGUGAGUCGAGAUUGUGCUAUUGCACUCCAGCCUAAGUGAUGAGCAAGACCCUGUCUUUUUUUUUGAGAGACAGGGUCUCACUCUGUUGCCCAGGCUGGAGAGCAGUGGCACAAUCUUGGCGCACUGCAGCCUCUGUGUCCCAAGUUCAAGUGAUCCUCCCACCUCAGCCUGUAGCUGGGAUUAUAGGCGUGAACCACCGCACCAGGCCGGGAUUGUUUCAAAAAAAAAAAGAACAACCACCACCUAGGCUUCCUUAUUAAUAUGUAUUUAUUCUUUUUUUUUUCUUUUACAUUUUUUUUUCAUAUUUUUUGCUGCUGGAGCCCACACCCCAGUGGGUCAGGGCGGUGCCAUCCCUUACUAAUACCUUAACAAAUAAUUACAUAUUUGCUUCUUCCCAAAUUUGGCAGCAAGUAAACUUUUACAUAUUUUUUCUUUUUUUUUUGAGACAGAGUUUCGCUCUUGUUACCCAGACUGGAGUGCAAUGGCGCGAUCUCGACUCACCGCAGCCUCCGCCUCCUGGAUUCAAGCAGUUCUCCUGCCUCAGCCUCCCGAGUAGCUGGGAUUACAGGCGCGCACCACCAUUCCCAGCUAAUUUUUGUAUUUUUAGUAGAGAGUCGGUUUCACCUCGUUGACCAGGAUGGUCUCGAUCUCUUGACCUCGUGAUCCACCCUCCUCGGCCUCCCAAAGUGGUGCUGGGAUUAUAGGCGUGAGCCACCGUGCCCGGCGUACAUAUUUUUUCUUAAGCACAUUUGUUUCUGCAGUUAGUCUGGCCUCUAGAGCUCGUGGAUUGCAGCACCCAUGACGAGAGCACCAGAGCUGCAGCGCUGGCAGCUCCUCUGCCGACUAACCAUGUAUUCUUUAAAGAUGGAGUUUCGCCAUGAUGACCAGGCUGGUUUUGAACUCCUGACCUCAGGUGAUCCACCCACCUCAGCCUCCCAAAGUGCUAGGAUUAUAGGCGUGAGCCACUGCGCCCAGCUUCCUCAGUGUUUGUUUAGACUUUUGGGUGUAGGGCUUUGGACAGGUGUUUAAGGACCUGGACUGGACGAAGUUUAUGUCCUCUUCACAUGAUGGGAACUCUCACAGCCCCGAGCAGUGCAUUCCAGAUUGGCCGAUCUGGCAAGCUAAAGCCAACGGUUAUCUCACUGUUUCUGCAGGGCAGGAAUCUGGGAUUGGCUGGACUGGAUAAGCUUGCAGUGCUGCUGAUGGCCAGGGCUGUGGUUGUCAGAGCUUGACCGGCGCUAGAGGACCUUCGUCCAGGGUGGAGCACUCACACAGCUGUUGCCAGAAGGCCUCGGCUCCUCAUCACAUGGGCCCAUCCUAGGGCUCGCCUGACCUUGCGGCUUCCCUGGAGCUGCUGACGACCAGAGGGCAGGAACCACAUGGCCUUUUCCAAUCACACCCUAGAAGUGACCGUCACUUUUGCUGCAGCCAGGCACCAGAUGGGUUAUGUCUUCACCACAUCAUUCCCAGCCAGCCACAGUCAGCAGGACUGCCCGCGAUGCCUGCUGGAUGGAACCUGGAGGCUCCCUCAAGGAUGGUGGUCUCAUGCCAUCAGGCGACAGGUUAUCACCGGCUCGUCCUGGAUCCCAGUGGCCUCUGACCAUCAUAGGUUCUCAGCCCAUCAGUGGUGGAUCUGCUGCUCUGGAGUUUCCCAUGAACCACAUUGGAAUUUCGAUGGCUACAGCUGACAAGGAAGAGGCUCAGUCACCCGUGACACAUCUCAGCCUUUUCUGCCAACAGCGAAAAGAAACUACUUGGCUGGCCUCGGUGGCUCACACCUGUAAUCCCAGCAUGUUGGGAGGCAAAGAGGGGUGCAUCACUUGAGGUUAGGAGUUCAAGGCCAGCCUGGCCAACAUGGUGAAACCCAUCACUACUAAAAAAAUACAAACAAAAAAGCCAGGAAUGGUGGCGUGCACCUGUAAUCCCAGAUGCUCGGGAGGCUGAGGCCGGAGAAGCACUUGAACCCGGGAGGUGGAGGUUGUGUGAACUGAGAUUGCACCACUGCACUCUAGCCUGGGCAACAAGAACGAAACUCUGUCUCAAAAAAAAAAAAAAAAAAAAAAGGUGGGUUUUCUGGAUGAGAGGUUUGUGGCUGCAGAGAACGAAAGGACUGGAAAUGAAAGAUACUUUCUGUAGGGUAGCAGGGAAUGGCCCGUAACAGAUACUGGUUGAGCAACCACACUACAUGGGGCAUUGUCCUAGAAAACGGCCCAUCCUCAGUGAGCUUCCAUUCUGUUGACAGAACAAAAGCACAGCAAACAAAGCACAUGGCGAGCAGGACAACGAGAGGCUUUGGACAGAGUCUGCGAUGCCACAGGCAGGGCAAACUUCACAGAAAAGAGGACUUUACCUGCAAAUUUUUUUUUUUUAAAGACGGGGUUCUACCAUGUUGGUCAGGCUGAUCUUGAACUCCUGACCUCAGGUGAUCCACCUGCCUUGGCCUCCAAAGUGCUUGGAUUACAGGCCACCACACCCGGCCUACCUGCUAACUUUUAAAUUUUUUGUAGAGAUGGAGUUUCGCUCUUGUUACCCAGGCUGGAGUGCAAUGGUGCGAUCUUGGCUCAUCGCAUCCUCUACCUCCUGGGUUCAGGCAAUUCUCCUGCCUCAGCCUCCUGAGUAGCUGGGAUUACAGGCACGCGACACCAUGUCCAGCUAAUUUUUUGUAUCUUUAGUAGAGACGGGGUUUAACCAUUUUGACCAGGAUGGUCUCGAUCUCUUGACCUCGUGAUCUACCCUCCUCGGCCUCCCAAAGUGCUGGGAUUACAGGCUUGAGCCACCGCACCCGGCUGAGAUGGAGUUUCUAUGUCGCCAAGGCUGGUCUUGAAGUCCUGGGCUCAGGCGAUCCUCCCACCUCAGCUUCCCAGUGUUGGCAUCACAGGCGUAAGCCACUGCACCUGGCCAAAUGACUAUCUUAGAAAGGGACUUUAGAGCCCUCACUAAGAUGAGGUGCAGGAGCAAAAGGAAGUGCAUAUCCCCAGGACAGGAGAAGCUGCGGAGAGAGAGGCCUGGCCAGCCCAGUCGGUGUGGCCAGCUGGGAGGGGCAGGUAGCAGGGGAGGGGCAUAGACCAGGGAGUGCUGGAGAGUCCGAGGGUAAGUGCUGCUGAGGACUAAUAAGCAGUAGUGUGGUAAAAGCACUACUUUGGCUGCUGGGAGGAGAAUGGACUCUAGAGAGGCCAGAAGUGAGAAUGUGAGGCCAGGGAGCAGGGAAGAGGCUUUUGCAGCUGUGCCAGGAGGUCAGGACCCAGGCAGGAGGGAGGCAGGGGGCUGGUUCUCCAAGAGGCUCCAGUAAAGGCUGGGUGUCUUGGUGCUCACUCUGGGCUGCCUUUUCUGAUCUGCAGCCCCAGGAAGAGGCCAGCGUGUGGCACCUGGUGGCCCAGCAGCUGAGAGGGUUGAGGGUGAGUCUCCAGAACAGGGCAGACACCACCUCAGUGCGGAUGUGGAGCAGGAGCAGUGCUUUAUUUUCAUUGUAACUUAAAGGGCUGCUUUGACAAGGAACAGAUCGUUUCUACAUAAAAUCUCAACCAUGGCCGGCCCACUUAAGACCCCUCUCCUCAGGAAUCCGUGGACAAACAGAACUACACAAGUGGACUCUGGCUGGCGCUGGGAGUUUCUUGGGUGCUCUCAGAAUGCAUUUCUGGUUUCUGGAAGGCUCAGGGAGCUCUGGCUGGGGGGCACGAGGGCUGAUCAGGUCAAGUUCAAGAUUACCUGGAGAUUAGAAGGGUACUUCGAGUUUAGAUAUGCCUGCAACCAAAGCAUGCAAUUCGGGUUUGACCAUCCCUGUCCCUGUUUAUUUAAUUUUUUCUUUUUUUGAGACGGAGUUUCGCUCUUGUUACCCAGGCUGGAGUGCAAUGGCACGAUCUCGGCUCACCACAACCUCCACCUCCUGGGUUCAGGCGUUUCUCCUGCCUCAGCCUCCCAAGUAGCUGGGAUUACAGGCACGCACCACCGUGCCCAGCUAAUUUUUUGUAAUUUUUAGUAGAGACAGGGUUUCACCAUGUUGACCAGGAUGGUCUCGAUCUGUUGACCUCGUGAUCCACCUGCCUCGGCCUCCCAAAGUGCUGGGAUUACAGGCUUGAGCCACCGCGCCUGGCCAAUUUUUUUUUUUUUAAAGACGGGGUUUCACCAUGUUGGUCAUGCUGGUCUUGAACUCCUGACCUCAGGUGAUCUGCCCGCCUUGGCCUCCAAAGUGCUUGGAUUACAGGUGUGAGCCACCACGCCCGGCCUUUUUUUUCUUUCUGUCCCUGCUGUUUUAUGUUUUAUUUAGCUUGAUGGUUUUCUUCAGCCCUGAGGCCGUCCUAUAUGAACUUACAGUUUCGUAAACAGAACAGACAAAAUAGAACAAACUCCAUAGACUAUGUUUGCAACACUUGACUGGUGAGGGGAAGAACCGAAGCGCUUGUCUAGGACCAUGUGGGCUAGGAUGACACCGUGGCUCCCGGGGGCCUAGAGGAGCUGGCCUCCCUGCAGCGUGGAGACCACGGGGGAAUGACUGACAGUAAUUUAACAGCCAGUAGCACUUCUAUAUUUAAGUCAUACAAAACCUAUUCUUUAAUUUUCUGGAAAAAAUUAAAGUUGCUUCUGAGUGGG